rfam:Camelus ferus unplaced genomic scaffold scaffold811, whole genome shotgun sequence.
AGGGUAAUAGCUCAGUGGUAGAGCAUAUACUUAACAUGCACCAGGUCCUGGGUUUAAUCCCCAGUACCUCCA